rnacentral:rRNA from 1 species
UCGAGAAUCUUUCGCAAUGGGCGCAAGCCUGACGAAGCGACGCCGUGUGAGCGAAGAAGGCCUUCGGGUUGUAAAGCUCUUUCGCUAGGGAACAAGAAAGAUCGGAUAACACCCGGUCGAUUUGAUGGUACUUGGUAAAGAAGCACCGGCUAACUCCGUGCCAGCAGCUGCGGUAAUACGGAGGGUGCAAGCAUUGAUCGGAAUUACUGGGCGUAAAGGGUGCGUAGGCGGUUGAAAAAGUCAGAUGUGAAAUUCCGGGGCUCAACCCCGGAGCUGCAUUUGAAACUUUUUGACUAGAGUACAGUUAGGGUAAACGGAAUUCCACGUGUAGCGGUGAAAUGCGUAGAUAUGUGGAAGAACACCGGUGGUGAAGACGGUUUACUGGGCUGAAACUGACGCUGAGGCACGAAAGCUAGGGGAGCAAACAGGAUUAGAUACCCCCGUAGUCC